GACGAACCGUGCGAACGUUAUUCGGAAUCACUGGGCUUAAAGGGCGCGUAGGCGGGUUGCCAAGUCUGUGGUGAAAUCCUCCAGCUUAACUGGAGAACGGCCGUGGAUACUGGCGACCUCGAGGGGGGUAGGGGCUUGCGGAACUGUGCGUGGAGCGGUGAAAUGCGUUGAUAUGCACAGGAACUCCGGUGGCGAAGGCGGGUCUCUGGGCCGAUACUGACACUGAGGAGCGAAAGCCAGGGGAGCAAACGGG
rnacentral:rRNA from 1 species